rnacentral:rRNA from 1 species
CCUACGGGUGGCAGCAGUAGGGAAUAUUCCGCAAUGGGGGAAACCCUGACGCAGCAACGCCGCGUGGAUGAUGAAGGUUUUAGGAUUGUAAACUCCUUUUGUUAGAGAAGAUUAUGACGGUAUCUAACGAAUAAGCACCGGCUAACUCCGUUCCAGAAGCCGCAGUAAUACGGAGGGUGCAAGCGUUACUCGGAAGCACUGGGCGUAAAGAUUGCGUAGGCGGGGUAAUAAGUCAGAUGUGAAAUCCUGUUGCUUAAAUAUAGAACUGCAUUGGAAACUGUUACUAUGGAGGGUGGGAGAGGGAGGUGGAAUUCUUGGUGUAGGGGUAAAAUCCGUAGAGAUCAAGAGGAAUACUCAUUGCGAAGGCGACCUGCUGGCACAUAACUGACGCUGAGGAGCGAAAGCGUGGGUAGCAAACAGGAUUAGAUACCCGAGUAGUC